rnacentral:rRNA from 1 species
UGGGGAAUUUUGGACAAUGGGCGAAAGCCUGAUCCAGCAAUGCCGCGUGUGUGAAGAAGGCCUUCGGGUUGUAAAGCACUUUUGUCCGGAAAGAAAUCCUUGGCUCUAAUACAGUCGGGGGAUGACGGUACCGGAAGAAUAAGCACCGGCUAACUACGUGCCAGCAGCCGCGGUAAUACGUAGGGUGCAAGCGUUAAUCGGAAUUACUGGGCGUAAAGCGUGCGCAGGCGGUUUGCUAAGACCGAUGUGAAAUCCCCGGGCUCAACCUGGGAACUGCAUUGGUGACUGGCAGGCUAGAGUAUGGCAGAGGGGGGUAGAAUUCCACGUGUAGCAGUGAAAUGCGUAGAGAUGUGGAGGAAUACCGAUGGCGAAGGCAGCCCCCUGGGCCAAUACUGACGCUCAUGCACGAAAGCGUGGGGAGCAAAACAGGAUUAGAUACCCUGGUAGUCCACGCCCUAAAACGAUGUCAACUAGUUGUUGGGGGAUUCAUUUCCUUAGUAACGUAGCUAACGCGUGAAGUUGACCGCCUGGGGGAGUACGGUCGCAAGAUUAAAAACUCAAAGG